rnacentral:misc_RNA from 1 species
GGGAGAAAGAAAAUAUGCUGAGAUAUUAUACAAAUAUAAUGUGCUGUUUAUGGAGAAUUUCUCAAACUUCCUCAUUGUUAGCCUCAGCAAUCUGUUUAGGAACGGGUUAGCCAAUAGGCAAUAGCUAUAGAAAAAGCAUUAACCAACUAAUUCUGUUAGAUAUGCUACGCAUUAUUAUCCAUCUAUAUUGGUGAACCAAAAUUCA